GUCCCAUGAGCUCUACCGGAAGAGGCGUGACUUCGCCACUCUAUUGAUCUGAUGGGAGACCUCAUCAGUGAACAGCCUGCCCAGGAUGUUCCAGGUCACCCUCUUCACAUCCUGGCCUCCAAUGGUGGCCAAAGAUGAAAUCUAAAAGGCAAAGACAUCUUUUUUAAAUAGACAGGGGAAACUGAAUGCGGUCUGGCAUCUCCGCAUCUGGCCCCGGGGUGCUGUUCAUCCUACUGGUGAGCAGGUUCACCUUAGCCACAAGCUGGUCAUUUUGCUGUUUGAUGGUUUCCAGCAAGCUAAGGAUUUGGAACUCGGCCGCUGUUGACAAACAUGAAAUAUAGCUCAAAUGUAGUGUAUCACAUAUAUCACGUUUCAGUGUUUAUCCUCAUUGCUCAUAAUACCGACAUAAGCUAUUGACAUUAAUUAAUGACAAAAGUUAUAGACAAAGUUUGAGGAAAAUAUGUGAUGGUUGUCAGAAUUUUUUCCAAAAUCUGUGGCACAGAAUGACCCCUCCAGUAUUUUAGGGUUAUUACUCACCAGAGCAGGGAAUGGUAUCAGCCAUUCUUCCCCCUCGCCAUGUUGGUCUGUAGGCCAGGCUUGAAGAUGACUCCAUGUUGAGGGCUGGUGCCGGGGGUGGAGGGAGUUGAGGAGGGACUGCCGUUCCUGGCCCAUAGUGAGGUUGAGGAGCAGCGAAUCUACUGCCUGGCACUCGGCGAGAUGGUGGAGCUGGAGGAAUGGAUACACGGGUGCGGAACGGAUCGGAUCGCAAAGGGGCGGUAGGGAGGGGGCGGUAUAGCCCAGCUCAGUUCCGAGGUCGCGUUUCCACUGCCGACAGUACCCUUGGUGGUAGGCCGGAUGUCGAUCGCCGCGGCAGCUACAUAAACAUCGUAAACAACGUCUUCCUCCGCAAGAAUGCAGACGAACGUCUCCACCUCCUUGUUCGCCCAAGCAAGCUUUUUACGCGACAUGUUAAUUGUAAAGAAUAAUACCUCGAGGCUACUGUUUGUUUGUUUUUAUCCCCGCGUCACCCGGA
ensembl:lncRNA